rnacentral:rRNA from 1 species
UACGUAGGGUCCGAGCGUUGUCCGGAAUUACUGGGCGUAAAGAGCUCGUAGGCGGUUUGUCGCGUCUGCUGUGAAAACCUAAGGCUCAACCUUGGGCUUGCAGUGGGUACGGGCAGACUAGAGUGCGGUAGGGGUGACUGGAAUUCCUGGUGUAGCGGUGGAAUGCGCAGAUAUCAGGAGGAACACCGAUGGCGAAGGCAGGUCACUGGGCCGCAACUGACGCUGAGGAGCGAAAGCAUGGGGAGCGAACAGG